rnacentral:tRNA from 1 species
UCCCUGGUGGCUCAGAGGGUAAAGCAUCUGCCUACAAUGCAGGAGACCUAGGUUCAAUCCCUGGGUAGGGAA